UACGUAGGGUGCGAGCGUUGUCCGGAAUUACUGGGCGUAAAGGGCUCGUAGGUGGUUUGUCGCGUCGUCUGUGAAAUUCCGGGGCUUAACUCCGGGCGUGCAGGCGAUACGGGCAUAACUUGAGUACUGUAGGGGUAACUGGAAUUCCUGGUGUAGCGGUGAAAUGCGCAGAUAUCAGGAGGAACACCGAUGGCGAAGGCAGGUUACUGGGCAGUUACUGACGCUGAGGAGCGAAAGCAUGGGUA
rnacentral:rRNA from 1 species